rnacentral:rRNA from 1 species
GAUGAACGCUAGCGGCAGGCUUAAUACAUGCAAGUCGAGGUGUCAGCAAUGGCACCGGCGGACGGGUGCGUAACGCGUAUGGAACCUACCUUUAUCAGGGGGAUAGCCCGGGGAAACCCGGAUUAAUACCGCAUAAUAUAUUUGGCGGCAUCGUUAGAUAUUGAAAGAUUUAUUGGAUAGAGAUGGCCAUGCGUAGGAUUAGCUAGUUGGUGAGGUAACGGCUCACCAAGGCGACGAUCCUUAGGGGCUCUGAGAGGAGUAUCCCCCACACUGGCACUGAGAUACGGGCCAGACUCCUACGGGAGGCAGCAGUAGGGAAUAUUGGGCAAUGGGCGAGAGCCUGACCCAGCCAUGCCGCGUGCAGGAAGACGGCCCUCUGGGUUGUAAACUGCUUUUGAAUGGGAAGAAAGGCAUCCUUGCGAGGGUGAUUGACGGUACCAUUAGAAUAAGCCACGGCUAACUACGUGCCAGCCGCCGCGGUAAUAC